AAUAGAUGAACUAAAUAGUAAUUUAAAUAGUGUGAAUAAUAAAAAAUUUACCAAAGAAUUAAAUAAUUUAACAAAAAAAAACUAAUUAAUAUAUUUUUUUAAAUAUAAGAAUUAAAUAAUUAAUUUAAUUAAAAUACAAAAACUAAAUAGUUUUUAAUUUAAUUAAAAUACAAUAACUAAAUAGUAGUUUUCCCUGUCUUUCUAUGGCGAUAACCCUCCUCUAUUGAAACAAACUGGCAUUUUCCCUUCAAUGUUUUCCUUCUAUUUUUCUUUUAAGUAAAUGGCUAUCAAUCUGUUGAAACUAAAAUAUAAAUAAAUAAAUAAAUGGAGAUUAAACAAGAAACAGUCCACAUUCUUGUCCCACUCAAGAU
rnacentral:misc_RNA from 1 species